rnacentral:rRNA from 1 species
GACGAACGCUGGCGGCGUGCUUAACACAUGCAAGUCGAACGGAAAGGCCCUGCUUUUGUGGGGUGCUCGAGUGGCGAACGGGUGAGUAACACGUGAGUAACCUGCCCUUGACUUUGGGAUAACUUCAGGAAACUGGGGCUAAUACCGGAUAGGAGCUCCUGCUGCAUGGUGGGGGUUGGAAAGUUUCGGCGGUUGGGGAUGGACUCGCGGCUUAUCAGCUUGUUGGUGGGGUAGUGGCUUACCAAGGCUUUGACGGGUAGCCGGCCUGAGAGGGUGACCGGCCACAUUGGGACUGAGAUACGGCCCAGACUCCUACGGGAGGCAGCAGUGGGGAACAUUGCACAAUGGGCGGAAGCCUGAUGCAGCAACGCCGCGUGCGGGAUGACGGCCUUCGGGUUGUAAACCGCUUUCGCCUGUGACGAAGCGUGAAUGACGGUAAUGGGUAAAGAAGCACCGGCUAACUACGUG